AGAGUUUGAUCCUGGCUCAGAUUGAACGCUGGCGGCAUGCUUUACACAUGCAAGUCGGACGGCAGCACAGAGAAGCUUGCUUCUUGGGUGGCGAGUGGCGAACGGGUGAGUAACAUAUCGGAACGUACCGAGUAGUGGGGGAUAACUGAUCGAAAGAUCAGCUAAUACCGCAUACGUCUUGAGAGGGAAAGCAGGGGACCUUCGGACCUUGCGCUAUUCGAGCGGCCGAUAUCUGAUUAGCUAGUUGGUGGGGUAAAGGCCUACCAAGGCGACGAUCAGUAGCGGGUCUGAGAGGAUGAUCCGCCACACUGGGACUGAGACACGGCCCAGACUCCUACGGGAGGCAGCAGUGGGGAAUUUUGGACAAUGGGCGCAAGCCUGAUCCAGCCAUGCCGCGUGUCUGAAGAAGGCCUUCGGGUUGUAAAGGACUUUUGUCAGGGAAGAAAAGGCUGUUGCUAAUAUCAGCGGCUGAUGACGGUACCUGAAGAAUAAGCACCGGCUAACUACGUGCCAGCAGCCGCGGUAAUACGUAGGGUGCGAGCGUUAAUCGGAAUUACUGGGCGUAAAGCGGGCGCAGACGGUUACUUAAGCAGGAUGUGAAAUCCCCGGGCUCAACCCGGGAACUGCGUUCUGAACUGGGUGACUCGAGUGUGUCAGAGGGAGGUAGAAUUCCACGUGUAGCAGUGAAAUGCGUAGAGAUGUGGAGGAAUACCGAUGGCGAAGGCAGCCUCCUGGGAUAACACUGACGUUCAUGCCCGAAAGCGUGGGUAGCAAACAGGAUUAGAUACCCUGGUAGUCCACGCCCUAAACGAUGUCAAUUAGCUGUUGGGCAACUUGAUUGCUUGGUAGCGUAGCUAACGCGUGAAAUUGACCGCCUGGGGAGUACGGUCGCAAGAUUAAAACUCAAAGGAAUUGACGGGGACCCGCACAAGCGGUGGAUGAUGUGGAUUAAUUCGAUGCAACGCGAAGAACCUUACCUGGUCUUGACAUGUACGGAAUCCUCCAGAGACGGAGGAGUGCCUUCGGGAGCCGUAACACAGGUGCUGCAUGGCUGUCGUCAGCUCGUGUCGUGAGAUGUUGGGUUAAGUCCCGCAACGAGCGCAACCCUUGUCAUUAGUUGCCAUCAUUCGGUUGGGCACUCUAAUGAGACUGCCGGUGACAAGCCGGAGGAAGGUGGGGAUGACGUCAAGUCCUCAUGGCCCUUAUGACCAGGGCUUCACACGUCAUACAAUGGUCGGUACAGAGGGUAGCCAAGCCGCGAGGUGGAGCCAAUCUCACAAAACCGAUCGUAGUCCGGAUUGCACUCUGCAACUCGAGUGCAUGAAGUCGGAAUCGCUAGUAAUCGCAGGUCAGCAUACUGCGGUGAAUACGUUCCCGGGUCUUGUACACACCGCCCGUCACACCAUGGGAGUGGGGAUACCAGAAGUGGGUAGGAUAACCGCAAGGGGUCCGCUUACCACGGUAUGCUUCAUGACUGGGGUGAAGUCGUAACAAGGUAGCCGUAGGGGAACCUGCGGCUG
rnacentral:rRNA from 1 species